CGCCUCAGCCUCGGCACCUGUGGCUCUGUACAUCCUUCCGGAAAAUGCAAGAGAGUGGCCUAAGUUUAAGGUCCCCGAUCAUUUCGUCUAUAUAACUGUUACCUUAAAUAGCAGGACUGUUUUGAGAACCUGUCACCAGUUUAACUCGGGCUUCACAAAUAGGUCGAUAUUGAAGGACGGCCCAGCAAACUAUAGAUUUGAACAUGACAGUAACAGAGCAUCCAUGAAGCAAACGUUAGAGCUUUCGAAUCGUUCUCGCGAUACUUUGAUGUCAUACGCCGAUCGAUCUGCGCAACCCUGCGUGCAGUCAAACACCUGUAGCGAAUAGUGUUUUACAUUUCUUCGAGGAAGACAUUAACAUAAUCGCGUUUAAGAUUUUACCUCAUGUAAAAUUAAAUAAUUACACAUUUUUUUACACGCGAUAUGUUCAAAAUGUGCAUGCAGGCGGAGCUGCGUACCUACGUCACUCGUUAAAAUGGAAUCAUUACAACACACUGCACUCCUGCGGAAAAAAAUAUAAUGACAAAAUCCAGCAUGUCAAGAUUGUUUAUACCUGACAGCGAAACGAAAGCAAAGUGAUAUAUGAUUCUCUUUCUAACAAGGCUUUGGCUCAGAUGCUUUCAAUAAAAAGAUGAAAAACUCUG